rnacentral:lncRNA from 1 species
CUACCGACUUCAUCUCCACCGGCUCGAACACCCCUGGCUCAGCCCAAGUCGCUCUACAAACCUCCCAGAGACGAAAAUCGUAGCCGUCCGUCUCGAGCGCGUCGGCGCGUGAGAAUAAAAACGGAGCUGAGCUUUUAAGGUCGUAGCAAGGUAUGAGCACAGGUUUGAGCGUGUCCUUCAAAGUCAGCUCAGAGAAAGACUCUUUCAUCACUCUCUUCAACUUCGCCGUACCCGAACCCGACGACCCGGUUCUCAUGACCCGUUUCAUUAGCGAAGAAUUAGACCCCGACGACCCGUAAAGACCCUUUGCGUUUUUCGUAAGGAACUGCCACGUGUCCUCUGCUCUAAAGAUCGGACGGUCACCGUCCCUCGACCCGAACAGCAUCGCCGUGAAAAUCCCGCCGACGCCGGACCCGGCGGCGACGUCGAAGAAAUCGGCGAUACGGGCAUUCGGGUCGCCCGACUUGGAUUUCAAAGCGUGUUCUAGAUAAGCCAAGGCCUUUCCGGGUAUAAUCCCUCUCAUGCCUCCUCCGUCGAUGCUCAAGAUACAAACUUUGCCUCUCUGGUUCUUGACCGAUCCAGGGACAGAGUCAACAACCGAAUUAACCGGUUCGGGUUCGGGUUUCGGGUCUUGGUCGUACCCGAAGAGGAACUUGCUCUCCAGGAUGGAGAAAAUCUCGUAGCUGAGUUUGUCAGUAUCCACGCUCGGCUCCUGCAUAUCCGUCAAGAGACUGUUAUCAUCAACCGAAGCCGCCUCCGUAGCCGCCGCCGUGUCUCCGCCUCUCUGUUUGAUUAAAUGCUUGACGGAAGCCGUCGUGGUUCUUCUUCCUUAUCCCGAGUUAGUGGAAAUGUCAAAGAGAAAUCAUGAUGAAAACAUAGACAAAUAAAAAUUAUUACAGGAAUCAUGUUUUUUUUUUUUGGCAGCAUGAAUGAAGGAGUUUGAUGCCCUUUUACAAUAUGAUAGAUGUUUCCCCUUUUCAUCUCAAAUCUAUACAACAAAUCAUAACCUGAGAAGAACCUUAUCCUACAAUCUCUAAAUAAACCAAAAUAGAGAGAACAAUAACAUGUUUUUUAUUUCUUGUUCAUCGUUCUCUGGCGGUCACACCAAUAUCCUUGUCCCUUGUCUUCUGAUCUGCCCUAUGAACUGAUUGCUUGAACGCCACGGUUGGUGCAAUUCUGCUAUUUCUCCUUUGAUGCUCAAGAACUAGUUCCCCGGCUAACCAGUCAAGCUUCUCGAAAUUGCUCUGUUCAUCGAUUCUUUUGCCUCCAAACAAAACCGAUUCUACAUUCUUUUGCUUUAGCAUCUCCUCCGCUACUCCAACCAGCAUAUUCACAUUGCUCCCACUCGGGUCUGUGUCUAUGCUUGGCUUGCAAGGUCCUAAACUCGACCCAUUCGCCUGCACCAAUACCCAAACUCUUAGUAACAACACAAUAUCUAUCUACAUUUUAACUUUUAUGGUUUCAUUUUAGAAGAAGUACCAUGAUCCAACAUAAACCAUAACAUAUGACACCAAAGUAUAAACCAUAACAUAAAGUGUCAUUUAUUACAUACCUGAAUCCGAACGUAGUUGCUGCUGCGGCAGUGACCAAAAGCCAUGGCCACAGCUUGAUCGACCGUGUCGGCAGCACCGUCGUUUGAAAUAAGAGCAGCGGGGCGAGACCAAUGCUUAGCCGUCCACUUAAUAAUCCGAUCAUACUCAUAGCUCACAUCAAGCAACUGACCCAUACCAAGAGACAACACAAGCAGAUCCUCAACUCCACGCACGAACGGAAACUCUUGCUUGUUGUGCAGCACGUGCGUGAUCGCAGCCGCCGUUGGAUUGCUCAUAGCUAAACCACCACCUAUCGCCACACACUUAGUCUUCCCAUCUACCGACUUCAUCUCCACCGGCUCGAACACCCCUGGCUCAGCCCAAGUCGCUCUACAAACCUCCCAGAGACGAAAAUCGUAGCCGUCCGUCUCGAGCGCGUCGGCGCGUGAGAAUAAAAACGGAGCUGAGCUUUUAAGGUCGUAGCAAGGUAUGAGCACAGGUUUGAGCGUGUCCUUCAAAGUCAGCUCAGAGAAAGACUCUUUCAUCACUCUCUUCAACUUCGCCGUACCCGAACCCGACGACCCGGUUCUCAUGACCCGUUUCAUUAGCGAAGAAUUAGACCCCGACGACCCGUAAAGACCCUUU